rnacentral:rRNA from 1 species
GACGAACGCUGGCGGCGUGCUUAAUACAUGCAAGUCGAACGGAAGGGCCCUGCGUUUGUUUGGUGCUCGAGUGGCGAACGGGUGUGUAUCACGUGAGUAAACUGCCCUUGACUGUGUGAUAACUUCAGGAAACUGGGGCGAAUACCGGGUAUGAGCUCCUGCUGCAUGGGGGGGGAUAGAAAGAGUCGGCGGUGGGGGAUGGACUCGCUGCUUAUCAGCUGGUUGGUGGGGUAGUGGCGUACCAAGGCUUUGACGGGUAGCCGGCCUGAGAGGGUGACCGGCCACAUUGCGACUGAGAUACGGACCAGACUCCUACGGGACGCAGCAGUGGGGAAUAUUGCACAAUGGGCGGAAGCCUGAUGCAGCAACGCCGCGUGCGGGAUGACGGCCUUCGGGUUGUAAACCGCUUUCGACUGUGACGAAGCGUGCGUGACGGUAAUGAGUAAAGAAGCAACGGCUAACUACGUG